CCCAGUAAACGGCGGCCGUAACUAUAACGGUCCUAAGGUAGCGAAAUUCCUUGUCAGGUAAGUUCUGACCCGCACGAAAGGCGUAAUGAUUUGGGCACUGUCUCAACAGCCCGCCCGGCGAAAUUGUAGUACCGGUGAAGAUGCCGGUUACCCGCAACUAGACGGAAAGACCCCAUGGAGCUUUACUGCAGCUUAAUACUGAGAUUCGGUAAAUCAUGUACAGGAUAGGUGGGAGACUGAGAAGUACGGUCGUCAGGUCGUACGGAGUCACCCUUGGGAUACCACCCUUGGUUUGCUGAAUUUCUAACCUGCGGCCCUGAAUCGGGUCGGGGGACACUGUUAGGCGGGCAGUUUGACUGGGGCGGUCGCCUCCUAAAAUGUAACGGAGGCGCUCAAAGGUUGGCUCAGCAUGGAUGGAAACCAUGCAAUGAGUGUAAACGUAUAAGCCAGCCUGACUGCGAGACCGACGGGUCGAGCAGAGACGAAAGUCGGAGUUAGUGAUCCGGUGGUAUGUGAGUGGAAAUGCCAUCGCUCAACGGAUAAAAGCUACCCUGGGGAUAACAGGCUGAUCUCCCCCAAGCGUCCACAGCGACGGGGAGGUUUGGCACCUCGAUGUCGGCUCGUCGCAUCCUGGGGCUGAAUUAGGUCCCAAGGGUUUGGCUGUUCGCCAAUUAAAGCGGCACGCGAGCUGGGUUCAGAACGUCGUGAGACAGUUCGGUCCCUAUCUGUUGCGGGCGUAGGAGAUUUGAAGGGAGCUGACCUUAGUACGAGAGGACCGGGUUGGACGUACCUCUGGUGUACCAGUUGUUCUGCCAAGGGCAUGGCUGGGUAGCUACGUACGGACGAGAUAAACGCUGAAGGCAUCUAAGCGUGAAACUCUCCCUGAGAUAAGAUCUCCACUGAGGCUCGACGUAGACUAUGUCGUUGAUAGGUCAGAGGUGGAAGCACAGCAAUGUGUGCAGCUGACUGAUACUAAUAAGCCGAAAGCUUGACCAA
rnacentral:rRNA from 1 species